CCCUUAGAUGUUCUGGGCCGCACGCGUGCUACACUGAUGCAUUCAACGAGUCUAAAACCUGGUCUGAUAGGGCUGGGUAAUCUUUUGAAAGUGCAUCGUGAUUGGGAUAGAUGAUUGCAAUUCUUCAUCUUCAACGAGGAAUGCCUAGUAAACGCAAGUCAUCAGCUUGCAUUGAUUACGUCCCUGCCCUUUGUACACACCGCCCGUCGCUCCUACCGAUUGAAUGAUCCGAUGAAUACCAUGGAUUGAGAGUACGAAUAGGUUCGCUUAUUUCUGCUGCUCGAGAAGUGGAGUAAAUCUUAUCAUUUAGAGGGAGGAGAAGUCGUAACA
rnacentral:rRNA from 1 species